UACAGAGGGUGCGAGCGUUAAUCGGAAUUACUGGGCGUAAAGCGUGCGUAGACGGUGGCGUAAGUCGGGUGUGAAAGCCCCGGGCUCAACCUGGGAACUGCAUUUGUGACUGCAUGGCUGGAGUGCGGCAGAGGGGGAUGGAAUUCCGCGUGUAGCAGUGAAAUGCGUAGAUAUGCGGAGGAACACCGAUGGCGAAGGCAAUCCCCUGGGCCUGCACUGACGCUCAUGCACGAAAGCGUGGGGAGCAAACAGG
rnacentral:rRNA from 1 species